UUUACACACUACUCUUAGGGUCGCCACAUGGCCGGUAUUUAUUUGAGGCUGCCUGGCCUUUGCCGAUAUUGCAGUAAUACCGGCAAUACAAAUGCCGGUAUUUUUCUCAGUAUAAACAGAGAUUACUCUGCAAUACCAGCACCGGUCAGUAGGGGUUGCUGUGUGUGUGGAGAGAGGCAGGGACAGGAAGUUACAGCAUAUAUCUGCAUCUCUCUACUCA